rnacentral:lncRNA from 1 species
CCUGGAGUCAUGCAGAAGGAUCUGGAUAUGUCCUGGAGGGAUUUGGGGGAGGCCAGGGAGCUCUGGACUCAUCAGGAAGAGUCUGGAGAUGUCCCGGAGGUGUCUUGGGGAGACCAGGGGGUCCUGGAGUCCUCCAGGAGCCUCAAAAACUGACAGUUCCCACCGAAAAAGCCCCCUACGGCCACCAGGUGAUGUGGGGAAAACCGCAGGUGACACCGGGACAACUGCCUGUCCCCACAUUUGUCCCUGUCACCGUGGAACCUGGCGCCAUCCCAACCCUCAUCUAUGCUGAGAGCUCCAUCAGCAUCCUACAGCUCCUGGAGCUGGGUGACGCCAUCUCCCUGACUCUCCCCCAGCUGUCCCCAACCAUUCUCCCUGCUGCGGUGGUGCAACUGGAGGGCAGUGA